rnacentral:rRNA from 1 species
AUGAACAUUUUCUCUUUGCUAUUGCAGUUGUGUAUAGCUCUAUGUGUCGGCACAAACAGCAGUGCAUGGUUGGGAACUGCGGCGCUUGUGACCAACAUGAGGAACUUCCCUCUGAGUCGAGGAACCGUUGCUGGUCUCAUCAAAGGUUAUGUUGCUGUUAGUGCUGCUGUCUACACGGAAACGUUCAAUGGAAUGCUUAACAAUUCACCCACAAACCUUUUGCUAUUGCUUGCUUUGGGGAUCCCGGUAGCAUGUGUUGUGGUGAUGUAUUUUGUUAGGCCCUGCACCCCAUCACUGGAUGAGGAUAAUGCAACCGAACACAGCCACUUCGUGUUCACACAGGUCUCUAGUGUGGUUCUCGGCGUAUAUCUUAUGGUGGCUACAAUACUCGGCGAUACUUUGAACCUAAGCGCGACUAUCACCUACCUUUUGUUUGGUAUAAUGAUACUCCUGCUCCUUUCUCCACUUGCCAUACCAAUCAAAAUGACACUUUAUCCAAGCAAACUAAAGGAGGAGAAGGCCAGCACCCUGCUUGUUCCAUCUUAUUCAACGGAUAGUUUGUCCGGUGCGGAUCAAGAGAAUGGAGAACCGCUUCUGCGUGGCACUUCGGCGACGUUUGUUCCAGGCAACAAUGAUUCUGAUGAGACUGAUCUGGAUGUUCUGCUGGCUGAGGGUGAGGGAGCAGUGAAUUUGAAGAAGAGGAAAGGACCAAGAAGAGGGGACGAUUUCACAUUUGCUGAAGCCUUAGUAAAGGCAGAUUUCUGGCUACUGUUCAUUGUAUACUUUUGUGGUGUUGGCACUGGUGUCACUGCUCUAAACAACCUAGCUCAGAUUGGGACUUCUGUUGGUGCUAAUGACACAACUGUUUUGUUGUGCCUCUUCGGCUUCUGCAACUUUGUUGGCCGUAUCCUUGGUGGAUCUAUCUCUGAAUAUUUUGUAAGAACAAGAAUGCUUCCUCGUCCUUUCUGGAUGAUGUGCACACAAAUAAUCAUGGUGGUAACCUUCCUCCUUUUCGCGACCGGUCUCCACAGCCUGAUCUACGUGUCAACGACGCUGCUGGGGAUAUGCUACGGGGUCCAGUUCGCGGUCAUGAUACCGACCGUGUCGGAGCUUUUCGGGCUCAAGGACUUUGGGUUGAUGUACAACUUCAUGCUCAUGGUGAACCCGAUCGGCGCGUUCUUUUUCUCGGCCCUCCUUGCCGGUUACGUCUACGACAAGGAGGCGGAGAGGCAGAACCCGGGCGUGCUGGACCCUUCAAACUGCUUUGGACCUGACUGUUUCAGGCUCACAUUCUACGUCUGUGCCAUGGUGUGUUGCUGCGGAACCCUGAUCUGCCUAGUUUUCAUCGCGAGGAUCAAGCCGGUUUAUCAGAUGCUAUAUGCUAGUGGGUCGUUCAGACACCCUCGACAGCAGCAGCUGUACUGA